GAUGAAGAACGUAGCGAAAUGCGAUAAGUAGUGUGAAUUGCAGAAUUCAGUGAAUCAUCGAAUCUUUGAACGCACAUUGCGCCCCUUGGUAUUCCAUGGGGCAUGCCUGUUCGAGCGUCAUUUGUACCUUCAAGCUCUGCUUGGUGUUGGGUGUUUGUCUCGCCUCUGCGUGUAGACUCGCCUUAAAACAAUUGGCAGCCGGCGUAUUGAUUUCGGAGCGCAGUACAUCUCGCGCUUUGCACUCAUAACGACGACGUCCAAAAGUACAUUUUUACACUCUUGACCUCGGAUCAGGUAGGGAUACCCGCUGAACUUAGGCAUAUCAAUAAGCGGAGGA
rnacentral:misc_RNA from 1 species